rnacentral:rRNA from 1 species
UACGGGGGGGGCAAGCGUUGUUCGGAAUUACUGGGCGUAAAGGGCUCGUAGGCGGCCAACUAAGUCAGACGUGAAAUCCCCAGGCUCAACCUGGGAACUGCGUCUAAUACUGGAUGGCUUGAAUCCGGGAGAGGGAUGCAGAAUUCCAGGUGUAGCGGUGAAAUGCGUAGAUAUCUGGAGGAAUACCGGUGGCGAAGGCGGCAUCCUGGGCCGGUAUUGACGCUGAGGAGCGAAAGCCAGGGGAGCAAACGGG